AGUGUGUUAGAAAUAAACCACACAGGGGAGGGUUCGGCUUGACUGCUGAUGAAGGACAUGGCAAGCUGUGAUAUGUCCUGGCAAGGCGCAUGCAGCCUUUGAACCAGGAAUUUCCGAAUUUAUCCUGAUUUAUAAUCAGGAUAGGGAACGCGGGGAAUUGAAACAUCUUAUUACCCGCAGGAAAAGAAAGCAAAAGCGAUUCGGUUAGUAAAGGCGAUCGAAACCCGAUUAAAGAGCAAACUGAAUCCUUAAUGGAAACAUUGAGGAGAUGUGGUGCGGCCCUAAUUUUAUCGUAAUUAAAUCAGACGAAGUUUUUCUGGAAUGGAACACAAAACAGGGUGACAGUCCCGUAGUCAAAAUUUAAACGAUAUUUUGGAGUCCGAGAGUAGCAGGCAUUGGAUAUUGCUUGUGAAUACGGGAGGCAUCCACUCCCAACUCUAAAUACAUGUCAAGACCGAUAGCAGACUAGUACCGUGAGGGAAAACUGAAAAGGAUCCCCGUAAAGGAUGUGAAAAGAGCCUGAAACUUUACGAAUGUAAUUUUGUAUGUUGCGUCGUUCGUCUAGAAACAUGAGGCAGGGAGUGUAAGCAUGCGGUGAGGUGAAAACCGUAGCGAAAGCAAAUAUCCGCAUUGCGCAAGCAAGAGGGAUGUGGUAUGAUAAGUGCCAUAAAUCGCAUGAUUACGACCUGAAGCCAAUCGAUCUAACCCGGGGCAGGAUGAAGUCCAUUAACUAAUGGAUGGAGGUCCGCUAGAGGUUCUGGGCUCAACCCGUUCUCGUGACCCCGGGAUAGGAGUGAAAUGCUAAUCGAGUUUGGCAAUAGCAGGUUCCUUCCGAAAUGGCCCGCAGUCCAGUCUGACCGGAGAUGGAUUAUGGGGUAGAGCACUGAUUGAGUAGCCCGGGGAAGAAAUUCCUCACUAUUCUGUCAAACUCCAAACCCAUAAUCAUCGUAGAAGGUUGGAAACGGGGCCGGGGGGUAAGCUCCCGGUCCGAAAGGGAAACAACCCUGAUUGUGGUUAAGGCCCCCAAGUAUUGACUAAGUGUAAGCAAAGGCGUCUUAGGGCUAAGACAGCGAGAAGGUUGGCUUAGAAGCAGCCAUCCUCUAAGGAGUUCGUAACAGAGUGUAAAGCGAGGAAAGAAGCUUUUUCGUAAGAAUUGGUGGACCUCGCGUUAAUAAGAAUCCUGCCAGUAGUAACAGCAAAGUAAUGUGAGAAUCAUUACCAUCUGAAGGGCAAGGGUUCCUCAACAAUGUUUAUCAGUUGAGGGUUAGUCGAUCCUAAGGUAUCCGUAAUUCGGGUGACGAAAGGGAAACUGGUUAAUAUUCCAGUACCAUACAAGUACACGCGGUAACGCAAUUUCAUUUCCUGACAUUUCGGGGUAGUCCGAGCAUCAUUGUCUUGAUGUCUAAAAGAAAUAAGAUUGUGGAGUACUAUAAAAGUGAGAAGCAGUCUAAAUCUUGAAUUAGUUGUUAGAUUCAGACAAUCCCUGGAAUUCGUAAAAAGGGAAAUGAUAGGACCUUGUAUGAUCGUACCAAGAACUGACACAGGUGCCCCUAGGUGAAAAGCCUCAGAUGUGACAAGAUAACUCUCGUUAGGGAAGUCGGCAAACGAGGAUUCCGACUGUUUAAUAAAAACGUAGGUCCCUGCAAAUUCGUAAGGACGUGUAUAGGGGCUGAUACCUGCCCAGUGACAGUAUGUCAAACUCCGGUCCAACGGAGUGAAGCACUGUUAAACGGCGGGGGUAACUAUGACCCUCUUAAGGUAGCGUAAUACCUUGCCGCUUAAUUGGCGGCUUGCAUGAACGGUUUAACGAGAUUCCUGCUGUCCCAACGAGAGACUUGGUGAAAUGGAGCUUUACUGCAGCUUGUUGUUGGAUUGCGGUUAUGGUCGCGCAGUGUAGGUGGGAGACACAGAUCCCGUGCUUUUGGGCACGGAGGAGUCAAAAGUGAGACACCACCCUUCUGUCACUACAAUCCUAACUCUUUAUAAGAGGACACCUACAGGUGGGCAGUUCGGCUGGGGCGGUACACCGUUGAAAACUUAUCAACGGUAUCUAAUGGUUGGCUCAGACGGGUCAGAAAUCCGUCGUAGAGGACAAGACCAAAAGCCAGCCUUACUAAAUUCUGACCAACAAAGAAUUUAGUGACGAAAGUCCAGUCUAGCGAACCCCGGUACCCCAUUGAUGGGGGUCCGGGCUGAUGAAAAAGCUACCCUGGGGAUAACUGAGUUGUCGCGGGCAAGAGUACACAUCGACCCCGCGGCUUGCUACUUCGCUGUCGGCUCUCUCUAUCCUGGGUGUGCAGAAGCACCCAAGGGUGGGGUUGUUCGCCCAUUAAAAGGGAGUCGCGAGACAGUUUGGCGGCAUCUACUGGAAGUGUUGUUUACCUGAGGGGCAGGUCCAGUUAGUACGAGAGGAACACUGGGUCGGGGCCUCUGGUCUAUCAGUUGUCUGACAAGGCACUGCUGAGUAGCUACGCCCUAUAUUGGUAAAGGCUGAAAGCAUCUAAGCCUGAAACAAUCCCCAAAAAGAGGUAAACUAAGACGCUUGUAAAAGACAAGUUUAAUAGGUGAGGGGUGUAAGUACCGAGGCAACGAGGUAUUAAGCCCACUCAUACUAACAGUCAUAUCUAACAUUAA
rfam:Candidatus Altiarchaeales archaeon WOR_SM1_79 WOR1_52_54_463451, whole genome shotgun sequence.